rnacentral:misc_RNA from 1 species
GAUGAAGAACGUAGCGAAAUGCGAUAAGUAGUGUGAAUUGCAGAAUUCAGUGAAUCAUCGAAUCUUUGAACGCACAUUGCGCCCCAUGGUAUUCCGUGGGGCAUGCCUGUUCGAGCGUCAUUUACCCCCUCAAGCUCCGCUUGGUGUUGGGCGUCUGUCCCGCUUCGCGCGCGGACUCGCCCCAAAGGUAUUGGCAGCGGUCGUGCCAGCUUCUCGCGCAGCACAUUGCGCUUCUCGAGGCACCGGUGGGCCCGCGUCCAUCAAGCUCACCCCCCCAGUUUGACCUCGGAUCAGGUAGGGAUACCCGCUGAACUUAAGCAUAUCAAAAGCGAGGA